GAUGAACGCUGGCGGCGUGCUUAACACAUGCAAGUCGAACGAAGCACUUUAUUUGAUUUCCUUCGGGACUGAUUAUUUUGUGACUGAGUGGCGGACGGGUGAGUAACGCGUGGGUAACCUGCCUUGUACAGGGGGAUAACAGUUGGAAACGGCUGCUAAUACCGCAUAAGCGCACAGCAUCGCAUGAUGCAGUGUGAAAAACUCCGGUGGUAUAAGAUGGACCCGCGUUGGAUUAGCUAGUUGGUGAGGUAACGGCCCACCAAGGCGACGAGCCAUAGCCGACCUGAGAGGGUGACCGGCCACAUUGGGACUGAGACACGGCCCAAACUCCUACGGGAGGCAGCAGUGGGGAAUAUUGCACAAUGGGCGAAAGCCUGAUGCAGCGACGCCGCGUGAGCGAAGAAGUAUUUCGGUAUGUAAAGCUCUAUCAGCAGGGAAGAUAAUGACGGUACCUGACGAAGAAGCACCGGCUAACUACGUG
rnacentral:rRNA from 1 species